UACGGGGGGAGCAAGCGUUGUUCGGAUUUACUGGGCGUAAAGGGCGCGUAGGCGGCCACCGCAAGUCGACUGUGAAAUCUCCGGGCUUAACCCCGGAAAGGUCAGCCGAUACUGCGGGGCUAGAGUGCAGAAGGGGCAACUGGAAUUCUCGGUGUAGCGGUGAAAUGCGCAGAUAUCAGGAGGAACACCAAUUGCGAAGGCAGCUCGCUGGGACGUUACUGACGCUGAGACGCGAAAGCGUGGGGAGCAAACAGG
rnacentral:rRNA from 1 species